rnacentral:rRNA from 1 species
CCUACGGGUGGCAGCAGUGAGGAAUAUUGGUCAAUGGACGCAAGUCUGAACCAGCCAUGCCGCGUGCAGGAAGAAGGCUCUAUGAGUUGUAAACUGCUUUUGUACGAGGGUAAAUCCCGAUACGUGUAUCGGGUUGAAAGUAUCGUACGAAUAAGGAUCGGCUAACUCCGUGCCAGCAGCCGCGGGAAUACGGAGGAUUCAAGCGUUAUCCGGAUUUAUUGGGUUUAAGGGGUGCGUAGGCGGUUCGUUAAGUUAGAGGUGAUAUCCCGGGGCUCAACUCCGGCACGGCCUCUGAUACGGUCGGGCUAGAGUUUAGUGGCGGUAGGCUGAGUGUAUGGUGUAGCGGUGAAAUGCACAGAG